GCUUAGAAGGUAGCCAAAACCCUACAAUGUUGAACCUGCGUCGUUGCUAGAUUCCCAUGGAGGUUGAAGCAACUUGUAGGUCGGGCUGUUGUUUGCUCGGUUUGCGACCGUUGAGGGAACGCAGAUUGCUGUCUAGUCCUUGUGAGAGUGUAUCAUGUGAUUUCGACAACUCUGUGGCCUUAGCCAGGCUGCCUUACGAGGGGGCUUGUCGUUCAGAUAGAAAAACUGUACAAGGUACAAUCCUACACAAGAGUACACUGUGAAGCUGGCGUUGAUAGGGAUCUGUUAAAAUUCGUGCUCCACCAAGAUCCUUAAAUGCCAUGAGCGGUUUGGAGUUUGAAGCUCUCAUAGAAUAAGCUAACAGUAUUUGGAUGCAGUACCGACUUAAGUGUGAUUGCAAAGAUUGCGGUCUUUAAUUUGCGGAAAAUUGCUUCUCUGGCAUUGCAUGAUCUGGGUUUGAGUUCCUUCAGAUCAAUCUAGGAAAAUCGUAUAAGAACGCGUUAGAAUGAAUUUGUCAUUGGCUGCUGAUGUUACAGUUGAUUCUUGAUAAAGCUUUGCAUCAGAUAAUGAUUCGGUUCUCUAAAGGAAUAGGAGUUCGAAUCAUGAUUCCAUUGUUUACCUGCAGGAGUCAGCCUGUGUCAGGCUUCUGGCAUGUAUGGUACCCUAAUGGCAUGAGGCAUGCCAGGAGCCUCAAUAAUUUGGUCUCCUUUCGGAGUUCUGCUGCACCUUGAAUAUUGAAAGCCCACAGUUGUAUGGCAAGAAAUGCUCACAAUACCCUGAUACCAUGCAGUAUCACAAUAUAAGUCACUCUGCUUGUUGCAGGUUGACAAUAUAGUGCACUCUAGAUUAAGCGUUCUGUCACGAUUCCACUUCAAGCAAAUCUAAGCUAGUAGAAGAACAGUGUUAUUUGAUAUACUCUUAGUUCUGAAAGUGGAUGUGAUAAGAUAAAUAUUUGUAAGAGAAUAGUGGUUAAGUAAUCUUAUUCUGCUACUGAUUAGGGGUAGAUAUAUGUCAAAAUCAACCGGAAGUGGUUAUAUGAAAGGAAAUCAUUGUAAAAUGUGAACCUGCCCUUCAAAAGUGCAUUGC